GGUGGCUCAGAAGUAGAGCACUUGCCUUGCAUGCAUGAGGCCCUGGGUUCGAUUCCUCAGCACCA
rnacentral:tRNA from 1 species